UACAUGGGGUGCAAACGUUGCUCGGAAUUAUUGGGCGUAAAGCGCGCGUAGGCGGUUAUUCAAGUCGGAUGUGAAAGCCCUCGGCUUAACUGAGGAAGUGCACCCGAAACUGAGUAGCUAGAGUACCAAAGAGGGUCGCGGAAUUCCCGGUGUAGAGGUGAAAUUCGUAGAUAUCGGGAGGAACACCGAUGGCGAAGGCAGGUCUCUGGGCCACUACUGACGCUGAGAAGCGAAAGCAUGGGGAGCGAACAGG
rnacentral:rRNA from 1 species